AUACGGAAGGUCCGGGCGUUAUCCGGAUUUGUUGGGUUUAAAGGGAGCGCAGGCGGAGAUGCAAGCGUGACGUCAAAUUUCGGGGCUCAACCCCGCCUCGCGUCGCGAACUGCGUCCCUUGGUUGCGGGACGGGGAGGCGGAACUCGUGGUGUAGCGGCGGAAAGCAUAGAUAUACGCAGAACUCCGAUCGCUAAGGCAUCCAUCCGGCCAGUAAACGACGCUCAUGCUCGAAGUUGCGGGUAGCAAACAGGAUUAGAUACCCUGGUAGUCCGCACAGUAAACGAUGGCCACCCGCGGUUUGGCCUGUAUGGCUGAGCCGCCAAGCGAAAGCGUUAAGUGUCCCACCUGGGGAGUACGCCGGCAACGGUGAAGCUCAAAUGAAUUGGCGGGG
rnacentral:rRNA from 1 species